CAGUAGCCGCGGGAAUACGAAGGGUGCAAGCGUUGUUCGGAAUUACUGGGCGUAAAGCGCACGUAGGCGGCUCGGUAAGUUAGAGGUGAAAGCCUGGAGCUCAACUCCAGAAUUGCCUUUAAGACUGCCGAGCUAGCAGGUGAGAGAGGUAAGUGGAAUUCCGAGUGUAGAGGUGAAAUUCGUAGAUAUUCGGAAGAACACCAGUGGCGAAGGCGGCUUACUGGCUCAUACUGGACGCUGAGGUGCGAAAGCGUGGGGAGCGAACAGGAUUAGAGACCCCAGUAGUCCCUGUCUCUUAUAC
rnacentral:rRNA from 1 species